GGCGCUGGUGGCUCAAUUGGUAGGGCGAGCGCGUCAUGUGCAGAGGCUGUAGUCCUCGAUGUGGUUGUCCUGGGUUUAAUUCCUGGUCUCGCUA